CCUACGGGAGGCAGCAGUGAGGAAUAUUGGUCAAUGGACGCAAGUCUGAACCAGCCAUGCCGCGUGCAGGAAGACGGCUCUAUGAGUUGUAAACUGCUUUUGUACGAGGGUAAACGCAGAUACGCGUAUCUGUCUGAAAGUAUCGUACGAAUAAGGAUCGGCUAACUCCGUGCCAGCAGCCGCGGUAAUACGGAGGAUUCAAGCGUUAUCCGGAUUUAGUGGGUUUAAAGGGUGCGUAGGCGGUCGGAUAAGUUAGAGGUGAAAUCCCGAGGCUAAACUUCGGAAUUGCCUCUGAUACUGUUCGGCUAGAGAGUAGUUGCGGUAGGCGGAAUGUAUGGUGUAGCGGUGAAAUGCUUAGAGAUCAUAAAGAACACCGAUUGCGAAGGCAGCUUACCAAGCUACUUCUGACGUUGAGGCACGAAAGCGUGGGGAGCAAACAGGAUUAGAUACCCUGGUAUC
rnacentral:rRNA from 1 species